rnacentral:rRNA from 1 species
AGUACGAUGCCGUAGACCCGAAACCGGGUGAUCUACCCAUGUCCAGGGUGAAGGUCGGGUAACACCGACUGGAGGCCCGAACCCACGCAAGUUGAAAAUUGCGGGGAUGAGGUGUGGGUAGGGGUGAAAUGCCAAUCGAACUCGGAAAUAGCUGGUUCUCCCCGAAAUAGCUUUAGGGCUAGCCUCGAGUGAUGAGUCUUGGAGGUAGAGCACUGAUUGGACGAGGGGUCCCCACAGGAUUACCGAAUUCAGUCAAACUCCGAAUGCCAAUGACUUUAACUCGGGAGUCAGACUGCGAGUGCUAAGAUCCGUAGUCAAGAGGGAAACAGCCCAGACCAUCAGCUAAGGUCCCCAAGUAUACGUUAAGUGGAAAAGGAUGUGGAGUUGCCCAGACAACCAGGAUGUUGGCUUAGAAGCAGCCAUCAUUGAAAGAGUGCGUAAUAGCUCACUGGUCGAGUGACUCUGCGCCGAAAAUGUACCGGGGCUAAACGUAUCACCGAAGCUAUGGCAAUCCCGUAUGGGAUUGGGUAGGGGAGCGUUCCAAGGACAGCGAAGCCAGAUCGUGAGGACUGGUGGAGUGCUUGGAAGUGAGAAUGCCGGUAUGAGUAGCGAAAAGAUAGGUGAGAAUCCUAUCCGUCGAAAGCCCAAGGUUUCCUGAGGAAGGCUCGUCCGCUCAGGGUUAGUCGGGACCUAAGCCGAGGCCGAAAGGCGUAGGCGAUGGACAACAGGUUGAUAUUCCUGUACCACCUCGUAUUCGUUUGAACGAUGGGGGGACGCAGAAAGGUAGGGUGAGCGCGCCGCUGGCUGUGCGCGUCGAAGCAUGCGAGGCUGGAACAUAGGCAAAUCCGUGUUCCGUAAGGCUGAGCUGUGACCGUGAAGGACCUUCGGGUCCGAAAUCCCUGAUCCUCCGCUGCCGAGAAAAGCCUCUAGUGAGAAUACAGGUGCCCGUACCGCAAACCGACACAGGUAGGCGAGAAGAGAAUUCUAAGACGCUCGGGAGAACUCUCGUUAAGGAACUCGGCAAAAUGACCCCGUAACUUCGGGAGAAGGGGUGCUCUAGUAGGGUUAACCGCCCGAGAGAGCCGCAGUGAAAGGAUCCAAGCGACUGUUUAGCAAAAACACAGGUCUCUGCGAAGCCGUAAGGCGAAGUAUAGGGGCUGACACCUGCCCGGUGCUGGAAGGUUAAGAGGAAGGGUCAUCCCUCACGGGAGAAGCUCUGAAUUGAAGCCCCAGUAAACGGCGGCCGUAACUAUAACGGUCCUAAGGUAGCGAAAUUCCUUGUCGGGUAAGUUCCGACCCGCACGAAUGGUGCAACGACUUGGAUACUGUCUCAACGAGAGACCCGGUGAAAUUAUAGUACCUGUGAAGAUGCAGGUUACCCGCGACAGGACGGAAAGACCCCAUGGAGCUUUACUGUAGCUUGAUAGUGAGUGUUGGUAUCAUCUGUACAGGAUAGGUAGGAGCCUUGGAAACCGGAGCGCUAGCUUCGGUGGAGGCGUCGGUGGGAUACUACCCUGAUGGUGCUGGCAUUCUAACCUCGACCCGUGAUCCGGGCCAGGGACAUUGUCAGGUGGGCAGUUUGACUGGGGCGGUCGCCUCCUAAACAGUAACGGAGGCGCCCAAAGGUUCCCUCAGAAUGGUUGGAAAUCAUUCGUAGAGUGCAAAGGCAGAAGGGAGCUUGACUGCGAGACCUACAAGUCGAGCAGGGACGAAAGUCGGGCUUAGUGAUCCGGCGGUGCCGUAUGGAAGGGCCGUCGCUCAACGGAUAAAAGCUACCCUGGGGAUAACAGGCUUAUCUCCCCCAAGAGUCCACAUCGACGGGGAGGUUUGGCACCUCGAUGUCGGCUCGUCGCAUCCUGGGGCUGAAGUAGGUCCCAAGGGUUGGGCUGUUCGCCCAUUAAAGCGGCACGCGAGCUGGGUUCAGAACGUCGUGAGACAGUUCGGUCCCUAUCCGUCGCGGGCGUAGGAAAUUUGAGAGGAGCUGUCCUUAGUACGAGAGGACCGGGAUGGACAUACCGCUGGUGUACCAGUUGUUCCGCCAGGAGCAUCGCUGGGUAGCUACGUAUGGACGGGAUAAGUGCUGAAAGCAUCUAAGCAUGAAGCCCCCCUCAAGAUGAGAUUUCCCAUGGCGUAAGCCAGUAAGACCCCUUAGAGAUGAUGAGGUUGAUAGGUCAGAAGUGGAAGCGUGGCGACACGUGGAGCGGACUGAUACUAAUCGGUCGAGGACUUAUCCUA